AACCAGCACCUCAAGUGGUCAGGAUGAUUAUUGGGCCUAAAGCAUCCGUAGCCGGCUCUGUAAGUUUUCGGUUAAAUCUGUACGCUCAACGUACGGGCUGCCGGGAAUACUGCAGAGCUAGGGAGUGGGAGAAGUAGACGGUACUCGGUAGGAAGUGGUAAAAUGCUUUGAUCUAUCGAUGACCACCUGUGGCGAAGGCGGUCUACUAGAACACGUCCGACGGUGAGGGAUGAAAGCUGGGGGAGCAAACCGG
rnacentral:rRNA from 1 species